rnacentral:rRNA from 1 species
AACGAACGCUGGCGGCAUGCCUAACACAUGCAAGUCGAACGAGACCUUCGGGUCUAGUGGCGCACGGGUGCGUAACGCGUGGGAACCUGCCCUUAGGUUCGGAAUAACUCUCCGAAAGGGGUGCUAAUACCGGAUCAUGUCUUCGGACCAAAGAUUUAUCGCCUUUGGAUGGGCCCGCGUUGGAUUAGCUAGUUGGUAGGGUAAAAGCCUACCAAGGCGACGAUCCAUAGCUGGGCUGAGAGGAUGAUCAGCCACACUGGGACUGAGACACGGCCCAGACUCCUACGGGAGGCAGCAGUGGGGAAUAUUGGACAAUGGGCGAAAUCCUGAUCCAGCAAUGCCGCGUGAGUGAUGAAGGCCUUAGAGUUGUAAAGCUCUUUUACCCGGGAUGAUAAUGACAGUACCGGGAGAAUAAGCUCCGGCUAACUCCGUG